rnacentral:rRNA from 1 species
AGUCGAACGGAAUUAAGGGGCUUGCUCCUUAAUUUAGUGGCGCACGGGUGAGUAACGCGUGGAUAACCUACCCUGGUAUCCGGGAUAACAUCUCGAAAGGGGUGCUAAUACGGGAUAAGCCCACGGGGUCUUCGGACCCUGCGGGAAAAGGUGGCCUCUAUUUAUAAGCUACCGCAUCAGGAUGGGUCCGCGUACCAUUAGCUAGUUGGUGGGGUAAAGGCCUACCAAGGCGACGAUGGUUAGCUGGUCUGAGAGGAUGAUCAGCCACACUGGAACUGAGACACGGUCCAGACUCCUACGGGAGGCAGCAGUGGGGAAUUUUGCGCAAUGGGGGAAACCCUGACGCAGCAACGCCGCGUGAGUGAUGAAGGCCUUCGGGUCGUAAAGCUCUGUCAGAGGGAAAGAAAUGUAUAGUGGUUAAUACCCAUUAUACUUGACGGUACCCUCAAAGGAAGCACCGGCUAACUCCGUGCCAGCAGCCGCGGUAAUACGGAGGGUGCGAGCGUUGUUCGGAAUUAUUGGGCGUAAAGCGCGUGUAGGCGGCUCCUUAAGUCUGAUGUGAAAGCCCCGGGCUCAACCUGGGAAGUGCAUUGGAAACUGGGGAACUUGAAUACGGGAGAGGGUAGUGGAAUUCCUGGUGUAGGAGUGAAAUCCGUAGAUAUCAGGAGGAACACCGGUGGCGAA